CUUGUAUCUUUGAAUUCAUUUCAUUUGUUGUUGUUUCACAAAAUGCAUCACGGAAUGAAUGUUGUUUAAUCUUCGGACCAAUGUAAUAUGUGGUCAGCAAAUUAGCAAAGGGAACAUGGGAAACAUUGGGUCCAUGUCAAAAUGCUGCCCGUAUCAACCUGAAGAUAUUAGCACUUUGACCUGGACCCAAUAUUUUCCUUAUUUCCUUUGCUUCGUUAAUCACAUAUAUCCAAAAUAUUGGCUUGAAGAUUCAAACAACAUACGGUGAUGCUUUUUGUGGAACAUUAAAAUCAAAUCAUACACGUGCAACGCUGUCCUAGGAGAACAGCCAGAUGAAGCAGCGGAUGGCAAUACUAAAGCAGGAGAAGCUCACAAGGGAAGUUACUAAAGAAGGAAGCUCAGAGAUUGAAGUCCAGAUUUGGAAACUUUGGGUGCGAUAACAACAACAAGUACAGGCAAGUCGAGUCUUAUUCUGGUGGUUCGAAUAAAGGUACAAGGUCAGGUUCAUCACAGUCGGACAGGAAGUUGCUGGAUCUGACCAAACUCAAUAUUAACUAAAGACAAAAACUCCUCUCAGAAAGACUAAGUAGCUUAAGGAUUUAAUAACGGUUUCUAUGUUUGAGGAAAGGGACUAAUCCUUUUUCUAUUUGUAUAAAAAAGUAUCCUACUUUGUGGUUGGGAUUCUAAUGUUGUAGUCUAGUGUUAACCCAUUUGCCAUGGAAAGAUCAGUCCAUUUGAUUCUAGAAGCUAUCAAUCUGAUGAAUGUAUGAUUACAUUGAGAAAGGGAAUUAUAAAAAUGUUAGUAGACUUUCACAA